CAUACCUAUUCGAAGGGAUAGGGUCGGCUCGGCCGGAUUUUACACAAGUGUUGCAUGGCUGUCGUCAGCUCGUGUCGUGAGAUGUUGGGUUAAGUCCCGCAACGAGCGCAACCCUCAUCCUUAGUUGCCAUCAGGUAAUGCUGAGUACUUUAAGGAAACUGCCAGUGAUAAGCUGGAGGGAGGUGGGGAUGAUGUCAAGUCAUCAUGGCCUUUAUGGAGUGGGCUACACACGUGCUACAAUGGUGUCUACAAUGGGUUGCAAGGUGCGCAAGCCUAAGCUAAUCCCUAAAAGACAUCUCAGUUCGGAUUGUACUCUGCAGCUCGAGUACAUGGAGUUGGAAUCGCUAGUAAUCGUGGAUCAGCAUGCCACGGUGAAUACGUUCUCGGGUCUUGUACACACUGCCCGUCACGCCAUGGGAAUUGGUUUCACUCGAAGCU
rnacentral:rRNA from 1 species